CCAACACGUUCAGCCAGGACACAUUCUGUCCAGUCUCGCUGGAUGGCCUCACGUCUGUCGAAGCAUUUGUAUGCGAGGUCCUACGUAUGCAUCCACCCAGGGAAAUUUUCUACUGGAGAACCAAAUGUGUGCUAGGUCUUUCCCUGGCUUCCAAUGACCGCUACAAGGUAAAUGCAGACACAGAGCUUGUUGGCAACAUCUAAACAGCCCAGCGAGAAGAGAGUGUCUUUGCUGUCGGGGACAUGAAAGCUGAAGAUUUCAACCACCAGCGAUUUCUGCAGCGCCCUGAUCUGAAAGAGCAGCUGCUGUGGAGUCAUGGACUAUCUAGCCAUUCACCACAGCUGGAUACACACCAGUGCCCGGCCAAGGUAA